rnacentral:rRNA from 1 species
AUUGAACGCUGGCGGCAGGCCUAACACAUGCAAGUCGAGCGGAUGAGAAGAGCUUGCUCUUCGAUUCAGCGGCGGACGGGUGAGUAAUGCCUAGGAAUCUGCCUGGUAGUGGGGGACAACGUUUCGAAAGGAGCGCUAAUACCGCAUACGUCCUAAGGGAGAAAUCAGGGGACCUUCGGGCCUUGCGCUAUCAGAUGAGCCUAGGUCGGAUUACCUAGGUGGGGUGGUAAUGGCUCACCAAGGCGACGAUCCGUAACUGGGCUGAGAGGAGUAUCAGUCACACUGGAACUGAGACGCGGUCCAGACGCCUACGCGAGUCAGCAGUGGGGAAUAUUGGACAAGGGUCGAAAGCCUGAUCCAGCCAUGCCGCGUGUGUGAAGAAGGUCUUCGGAUUGUAAAGCACUUUAAGUUGUGAGGAAGGGCAGUAAGUUAAUACCUUGCUGUUUUGACGUUACCGACAGAAUAAGCACCGGCUAACUCUGUGCCAGCCGCCGCAGUAAAAC